CGGACGGGACCCGCACGAAGCGGUGAUGAUGUGGAUUAAUUCGAUGACAACGCGAAAACCUUACCUACCCUUGACAUGUCCGGAAUCCCGAAGAGAUUUGGGAGUGCUCGCAAGGAGAACCGGAACACAGGUGCUGCAUGGCUGUCGUCAGCUCGUGUCGUGAGAUGUUGGGUUAAGUCCCGCAACGAGCGCAACCCUUGUCAUUAGUUGCCAUCAUUUGGUUGGGCACUCUAAUGAGACUGCCGGUGACAAACCGGAGGAAGGUGGGGAUGACGUCAAGUCCUCAUGGCCCUUAUGGGUAGGGCUUCACACGUCAUACAAUGGUCGGUACAGAGGGUUGCCAACCCGCGAGGGGGAGCUAAUCCCACAAAGCCGAUCGUAGUCCGGAUCGCAGUCUGCAACUCGACUGCGUGAAGUCGGAAUCGCUAGUAAUCGUGGAUCAGCAUGUCACGGUGAAUACGUUCCCGGGUCUU
rnacentral:rRNA from 1 species